rnacentral:tRNA from 2 species
GGAGAGGUGGCCGAGUGGCUGAAGGCGCCCGCCUGCUAAGUGGGUAUAGGGGUGAUACCUCUAUCGAGGGUUCGAAUCCCUCCCUCUCCG